UUUUCUCUUUUUUAAUCAUAUCCUCUCCUGUGAUUAUAAACUUUUAAAAUUACCAAUUGUUCCGACUGAAUAGUGGGAUCACUACGUGUCGACAACCUUUAUAUCGUUAAGUUUCAGCCUUGUAUGAGGUUAAGGGA